AAAUCGACGUCUUAAACAUUAAAAAUAAUAGAUAAACACAAUUUAAUAGUUUUGCCCACUUCUCACACCUCGUUAUGGUAUUUAAUCUAAUUUCCUUCUAAUCUUAGUUUUGCUCAAAAUACAUAUAACAUGUACGUUAUAAAUUGGAGUAUUUCAAUACACAAAUCAAUAGAAGAUUAUUACUGUAUAUAAGUAUAAUUUCAAUACAAUUCGAUCGAUAUAUUUCAGUAUCUUUGAUUAAAAAUUUAACGAUCCUUUCAGGCUGACCGUGGCGGACCACUGCUGAUACAACAUGAAUUAACCUCGUAUUUAAUAGGUAUUGUGUCUUAUGCUUAUAAGUGCGGCACAGCUGGGUAUCCCAGCGUUUACACUAGGGUCACAUCGUACCUUGACUUCAUUCUCCAAGCGAUGCAAUAAUAUGAUAUUACUGUUCCAUAAAUAUCAUUGUGUAAAAAACGUAAAGUUGGAUUUUCUUAUUGUGGAGAUAAGAAACAGCUCAAAUUUACAUUGUUUUGUACGUUACAAAUUAUAGGCUUAAAAUGUACGAAAUGUAACUUUGAAACGACACUAAUUUUUUACGCACGAUAAACCUCCACGACUUAGGAAAACAGUGCAGGAUGCUGUGAUUCGUUUCUUGUGGUCGGAGGUUAUGUUUGAUGCCUAUAUUUAUCAAAGAUUUAAUGCACAUUAUGGAGAAAGUGUUUUGUCACGAAGUGUGUUUGAAUGGGCACAAAAGUUCAAAGAAGAUCGCACAAGUGUUAUGAAAAAACAGCUGGACGCCCGUCCACAUCCACGAUGACAACAUUGAACGUGCUCAUGAACUUAUGCUCUAUGGAAUAGACGAGUGACACUGGAUAAUGUGGCAAAUCAUUUGCAAAUCAGCCACGGCUCUGCUUAUGCAAUAGUGCACGACAGAUUUGGAUUUUAAGAAGUUUAUGCGAGAUGGAUGCCGAAAAAGCUGAUGAAAAGGUGAAGACGACGAUGCAUUCGUGGUUCGCAGCUCAGCCCAAAACAUUUUUUAAUGAGAAAAUACGAAGGUCCUUCGGCAAAUGGACAAAGUGUAUACAGAAAUCGAGUGAUUAUGUCAAAAAAUGAUGUAUGUCUUUUUUGACAAUUGCUUAAAAUAAAUUCUACACCGACAGAGCGGGUAACUUUUUACUCACCCUCGCUGUUAAUCUAGAGGCUGGAGUACAAAGAAGUGGCACAAUGAUGUGGGCUGAUGACAUUUAUAAUUAUCAAGGAAUCACCCCUACAUUCGCUCAGAAUUUUAAUGAAACUGUCCCUUGGGAAGGAAGAACUGAUACCUUGAUAUCACGGUUUGUACAUCCUAUAUAUACGACAAAUUUUAGAACAUUAUAUAACGAAGAACCAGAUCGUCGUGGCCAUGUGAUGUGAAUAAAAGGACUUGAAUUUGAUGAUAUUUUUAUAAUGUUAGAUAACAUAACUAAGUAUCUUCACAGUAAGAUAGGAUGCCAUGGUUUACAUGAUCUUAAUGUUGUUCACUUGAGUGAUGAUAUUAUAAGGAAAAGUGUAAUAUCACAGGAUAUUUAUGUUUAGUAACCAGUAAUUCAGAGAUUGGUAUUCAUGGUUACUAUAACGAGGCUGUAGAAACGCACCCUUUCUUCUUUGCAAAUGGUCCUGUAUUUAUGUCUAAGCCGAAACUGGAACCUCUGAAUAAUUUAGAUUUAUUCUUGUUAUUUUCUAAAAUACUUAUCUACAGUAUACCAUAAGGAAUGAUACCGUAUCGCACCUAAGCAAGUGCCUUAAGAAACAUCAACAGGAUAUCACAGUAAUCCCUUAUCGACUGAUAUUUGUAGCCACUACAAUAUCUAUGACACUGGUAGUAAUUAUAAGAACAAUAACGAUGUUCUAUAAGAGGAAAUGAUGAUUAGGAACAAAAACUUACAGGAGAUAUCAUGCGGUGGAUGGAUAAUAUGUAAAAAAUAUUAAGCAGUAUAUGAAUUUUCAUAUUGCGUAGAGAUAACAAAAUGAAUUUUAAAAAAUGUCGACAUGGUAAUAAGAAAUAGCAUCAUGACAAAGAAUAUAUAAACACAGUUUCAUUUUUUAUAAAUAAAAAUUUGUUGUUCCAGAUUUUGAAAUAUAGUGAAACGUUUAAUUAGUAUCUUAAUAUCUUUAAAUAAUUAUUAUUUUAGAAUCAAUUGUAAUUGUAUCAUACGUACUUUUGAAUUCGUGCAAGAACAUAUGUUAUUUUGAAGUAGUUAUUAUUAGGAAAUUGUUAGACGCGAACAGUAUGCGAAAAGUUAGUAUGUAGUGUAAUAAUUAUCAAUCAAAACACAAGAAUUAAAUUCUUUAGGAAAAAAUUUCCGGAAUUUCUUAUUUACAUGAUUAUAAAGAAAUCCAUAAUAAAAAGGAGCUGCUUUCUAAUACUUCUCUUCCUUGUAAUGCCUAUGUUAAUAAUAACGAGGUUCGACUUUUUGUUUAUAGA